AUUGAACGCUGGCGGCAUGCUUUACACAUGCAAGUCGAACGGUAACAGGCCUUCGGGUGCUGACGAGUGGCGAACGGGUGAGUAAUGCAUCGGAACGUGCCCAAUCGUGGGGGAUAACGUAGCGAAAGUUACGCUAAUACCGCAUAUGCCCUGAGGGGGAAAGCAGGGGAUCGCAAGACCUUGCGCGAAUGGAGCGGCCGAUGUCAGAUUAGCUAGUUGGUGGGGUAAAGGCCUACCAAGGCGACGAUCUGUAGCGGGUCUGAGAGGAUGAUCCGCCACACUGGGACUGAGACACGGCCCAGACUCCUACGGGAGGCAGCAGUGGGGAAUUUUGGACAAUGGGCGCAAGCCUGAUCCAGCCAUGCCGCGUGCGGGACGAAGGCCU
rnacentral:rRNA from 1 species